rfam:Danio rerio chromosome 4, GRCz11 reference primary assembly.
GUCAGGAUGGACAAGCGGUCUAAGGCGCUGCGUUAAGAUUGCAAUUUCCCCUGGAGGCGUGGGUUCAAAUGCCACUUCCGACA